rnacentral:rRNA from 1 species
AAGGUAGCACAAUCACUUGUUCUUUAAAUAAGGACUAGUAUGAAUGGCAUCACGAGGAUUAAACUGUCUCCCCCACCUAGUCAAUGAAACUGACCUCCCCGUGAAGAAGCGGGGAUAAAUAUAUAAGACGAGAAGACCCUAUGGAGCUUUAAACAUAACACCACCCACCUAAACCCAUUUCAUAAAAAACAGGUGAAGCUUGUGUGCGUUUUCAGUUGGGGUGACUGCGGAGCAAAAUAAAACCUCCACGAUGAAAUCCUCUAAUCCAAGAAUAACAAUUCAAAGAAUCAACAAAUUGACAUCAAUUGACCCAAAUAAUAAUUUGAUCAACGAACUAAGUUACCCUAGGGAUAACAGCGCAAUCCACUUCAAGAGCUCAUAUCGACAAGUGGGUUUACGACCUCGAUGUUGGAUCAGGGUAUCCCAGUGGUGCAGCCGCUACUA